AACUCUUUCAUUCAAACAUGGACUACAAGCAACUCUCAGUUGUGCUCUUACUUGUCUUUCUCCGUCACAAACUUGUUUUCUCUUCUUCCAUAUUACCUCAUUUGUGUCCCAAACAUCAAAGUACCACCCUUCUAAAAUUCAAGCAGACGUUUACGAUAGAUACAUUUGAUAUGUGUGGACUUAUGCUUGGCCAGGAGUCUUAUCCAAAGACGAUCUCAUGGAACUUAAGCAGAGAUUGUUGUUUAUGGGAUGGAGUGAAGUGUGACGAGAUGAGUGGUCAUGUCAUUGAACUUGACCUCGGUUGCAGCCUGCUUGUUGGGGUGAUUGAUUCCAAUAGCAGCCUAUUCCAACUCUCUCAUCUCCAAAGACUCAACCUUUCUAUGAAUAACUUUGAUGGUUCUCAAAUCUCACCUAAAUUUGGCAGGUUUUCAAGCAUGACACAUCUUGAUCUUUCCCGGUCAUAUUUCUCAGGUCAAAUUCCUUCUGAAAUCUCUCAUCUUUCCAAGUUACACUCUCUUCUUCUCUCCACACUUUAUCUCAAUAAGCUAAGACUCGCAAGUCAUGAUUUUAAACCACUCCUUCGGAAUUUGACCCAAUUAAGAGAGCUUAAUCUUAGAUCCGUAAACAUCUCUUCCACCAUUCCUCCGAUUUUUUCUUCUCAUUUAACAACUUUGAGGUUGGGAUGGACAGGAUUGUAUGGGAUAAUACCCGAGAGUAUUUUCCACUUGCCCAACUUGCAAAGACUUGACUUACAUCACAAUGAUCAGCUCAGUGGUUAUUUUCCAAAGACCAAAUGGAAUAGUAGCGCAUCUCUCAUAGAGUUAGAUCUUACUGACGUGAAUUUUUCUGAUACUUUACCCGAGUCUCUUGGCUAUCUAACUUCGUUGCAGUCUUUGUCUCUUCAAAAUUGCAACCUUAGAGGGCCUAUUCCCGAAUCUCUUUCAAAUCUCACCCACAUAGAGUCUUUGUACCUUGGAGUUAACUCCCUGAAUGGAACAAUUCCGUCAUGGAUAUUCUCCCUUCCAUCACUAAGUUUAAUAUACUUGAGUAAUAACCAAUUUUCUGGUCAGCUUGAGGAUUUCAAGUCCAAUUCACUUGUCUGGAUUUACUUACAAGACAAUCAGCUGCAAGGCCAUCUUCCCACGUCAAUUCAAAACCUCGUGAACCUAACAACUCUUGAUCUUUCAUCGAAUAAUUUUAGUGGUAGUGUGGAUGUUAGCUUCUUUUCGAAGCUCAAGUAUCUUUUAGAUCUUGGUCUUUCAUAUAAUCGUAUCACAUUGAUCAAUGAGAAUAAAGUUAAAUCUACUUUGCCUGAAUCUCUUGAGAAGUUAGGAUUGGCCGCGUGUGAAGUGAAAGAAUUGGAGUUUCUAAGAUCCGCGAAGAAUCUCAAGGAGUUGGAUCUUUCAAAUAAUAAGAUUCAAGGAAGGAUUCCUGAUUGGGCAUGGUCUAAUUGGGAAUUUUCAGUGUCAACUCUUAAUUUAUCUCACAAUAUGUUGACAAGCAUGGACUCAAUUCCUCUUCUAUCUCUAGAUACUAUUGAUUUGCGUUCCAAUUUUCUUGAAGGGUCACUACCUAUUCCAGCUAAUUCCACGAGAUACUUCUUCAUAUCGGAAAAUAAUCUUAGUGGGGAAAUUCCUUCGUCUCUUUGCAAUUUGAUGUCACUAAAAAUGCUCGUUUUGGGAAAAAAUAACUUGAGGGGAACAAUUCCACAAUGUGUUGGGUAACAUGAGUUACGAUCUUGAGGUUUUGGAUAUGCACCACAACAAUCUUUCGGGGACUCUUCCAACGACUUUUAGCAUUGAAAGUUCACUCAGAAGCCUCAACUUGCAUGGUAAUAAACUACAGGGGAAAAUCCCCCGAUCUUUGGUUAAUUGCAAAAGGUUGCAAGUUCUUGAUUUAGGAGAAAAUCACCUCAACGACACAUUCCCAAUGUGGUUGGGGACUUUGCCUGAGCUUCAAGUUUUAAGCUUGCGAUCCAACAAAUUACAUGGGUCGAUUCAACCUUCAAGGUUUGAAAAUAUGUUUCCCCAGCUCCGGAUAAUAGAUCUCUCUUACAAUGCCUUCUCAGGAAACUUACCUACGAGUCUAUUUCAACAUCUGAAAGCCAUGAGGACGAUUGAUCCAUUGACAAAGUCACCAAGUAAUGAAAGAGAUGGAUAUUACCAAGACUCGGUCGUUGUAGUAACAAAGGGAUUGGAACUUGAAGUUGUGAGAAUCUUGUUUUUGUACACUACUAUCGAUCUUUCUAGCAACAAAUUUGAAGGACAUAUCCCUAGUGUUCUAGGAGAUCUCAUUGCACUUCGGGUGAUGAAUUUGUCUCAUAAUAGAUUGCAAGGUCAUAUUCCAUCAUCACUUGGAAAUUUAUCAGUAGUUGAAUCAUUGGACCUUUCAUUCAACCAACUUUCAGGAGAGAUACCAGAACAACUCGCUUCUCUUACAUAUCUCGAAUUCUUAAGGCUCUCCCACAAUCAUCUUGUAGGAUGCAUUCCUAUAGGACGUCAAUUUGCUACAUUUCAGAACAAUUCAUAUGAUGGUAAUGAUGGAUUGCGUGGAUUCCCUGUUUCAGAAGAUUGUGGAAGUCGCGAGAUGCCAAAGAGAAACAACACAACACAAGUGUUGAAUCAAGAAAGCAACUCCACAUUUCUAAGUGAAUUUAGGAAGACAAUUCUUAUGGGAUAUGGGAGUGGACUUAUCAUUGGACUCUUCAUAGCAUAUUUCAUGCUUUCGAGUCGAAAUUCCAAUUGGCUUUCUAGGAUCACUGAAGAACUAGAAUACAGAAUCGCUAUGAGAAGGCGAAAAAAGAAGCAGCAGCAAGGCCGUCAAAGGCAGCACUAAGAAUCCAGUUGGUGGAAUGCCCCAUUGGAGAUGCAAUAUGAUGCUUGUUUUGGUGAUGGUGGAUUAUGAAUUUCAAUGUAUUCAUUGUAGUUUUUUUUACAUUGCACGAAUUCAGAUUAGUCAGGUCUCUAAUGUGAAUAUCAGAAACUAAAUGAAAAACCAAAAAAAAUCAUGUCUCCUUCUAAAU